rnacentral:lncRNA from 1 species
GGAGAGGAAAAAAAAAAAAAAACCUAAAAAAAACUGGAUGUGCAGUACCCUCUAGUGGCAGAGACCUGUUCUCACACUCGGCUUGAUCAAGUGCACGUGCUCUGUUCUGUGACUCUAACGGGGGAAGUGGAUCUAAGAAAAUCAUGGAAAGUAAGAACAUCAGCAGGUAUUCUGUUUUGAUUUACUUUCUUCCAGACAUAAAGAGGUUCUGCUUCCUAGAACACUGUAUGGCUUAUUCCUCCAGACAUCCAGUCACUGCAGGUAACGAUAACAGCAGCGACCUCUGGCAGAAAAACAAGCAUCCAUAAAAAAGAGGAAAAACUUCACUGAGAAUAAUUGCCCACUUGGAACAACUUACCACUGGAUAAUAAGUCUCUAACAGCAGGUUUGGCAUUGUUUUUGGAACAUAAGGAACAGCUGGCACCUCAAUAUAAAAUAAGCCGUAUCAGCAUCUGUUGUCCAAACCAAACACACUGCUGCAUUUUUUUUCUAAAGAAGGAAAAUAUAAAAAGAGGUAUUCAAC